rnacentral:snoRNA from 1 species
CUCCAAUGUCUGCAGCUAACAGAACUAGUGCAUUUUCCUUCCCAGAGCCUGUAAAGGUGAACCCACUGGGGCUGGCUGGGGGAGAAGAGGAAAGCUUGUUACAGAGGGAACUGUCUGAGGGAU